GAUUAGCCAAAACUAUGGAAUUUGGCAAAGCUGACUCAGGAGAGAAAGCCCAGGAGAUUGUUGGCACAGUAUGAAUUUACAGAUUACGUGUACAGGUCAGUUCCUAGGUGUCCAAGCAGAAUCAACAGAAGAAAUGUUUCUGACUAAAGCUCCAGACCUCUUUUGUCAGCACUACAACCCCAACCCCAUCACACAGGUUCCUUUCCACACCUGAGAGAUGAAUGAUGAAGGAUUUGGGCUCCUUUAGCAACCAGGCUCAAGUUUUAUCCACCUUGUCCAUGUAAAAUCCUUCCCAGACACCCAGAAAACACCUUCAUCUGGUGUUCUUCAACCUCAAGAAGACUCAAACAUGCCAUGAUUUCAGCUUUAGGUUUCCUCCUGUGCUGCAGCAGUUUUGGGAGGUGAGGUGAUGUGUCCCAUCUCUGAAAGAGGUGUCUGAGCUCCUGGGUCGUGAGACAGAAUCUGUGCAGAGCGUCCUCCCCUGGGCUUCAAACCCAAGGAAAAGCUGAGCCUGCUCAGGGAACUGAAGCUCAGAAAGACCUAAUUUGCAGAUCCCAACAGGCAUGUACAUGGCAGAGAUGCAAACCUGCACAGUCCUGCUGAGAUGACAACAUUUCUGAGUGCAGCAGCAAAACUCCAGAUAGCAGGGUCAGGCCAGGCUCAGCAGUGACUCAGCAGCACACCUGCCCUUGCACACGUGCCUGAACAUCUCCUGCUGCGUGCUUCAUCUCCAGCACUGCCACCUCCUAAAGUUAGAAGCAAAUAAAAGUCAUGCUUCAUGAAAAUAAACCUCUAUAAUUUAGGUUUCCAGCACCACCUGGUCUUCCAUCCUCUCCCCUAACCUCUUCCUGGAGAACAUUUCCUGUGCUGAUUGUAUUAGUGUAGCACGGAGUGAAGUACAGUCAAAGGCUAAUCUUUUUUGUGAUUGAAUAUUAGAUUCCUCAUUUCAAGAGGCUCUUACAAACAGCUUUUUGUCAGACUGAGGGAAGGUGGCAAGGAUGGAAGAGAACUUGAGGGAAAAGUACAUGUCUCCUCCCAAGGGUUUUAUUCUCUUUUCCUCCAUAGCUUUUACAUUAUGGCAAAUAGUGUAAUUUAGAGUUGUAAUUUCAAAAAAGAUGUUCAUUACUGAGAAAGCAGCUUGACCAAAUCUUCCUCAGAAGACAUUUAAUUGACAAUGUUUAGGACUGACCACACACCUGAGGUGGAUUUCCAGCAAUUCAUCCUUGAAGCAGAAGAAAAGGAACAGAGGACAAAAUGGACACAAAUGAAAAACCUGGAGCUGCAGGAUCUAAAACAGAGUAAACAUGCAGCUGAAUAAUACUGAUCCUGUGCUUCCUGUAUCAUCUCUAGAAGUGUAUAAAAUUACAUGUUAAAAUCCAUUAACUGCUAUUUUUGCAGGAUGAAGAUCCAGGACAAACACUGCUGCUCCUCAGGCAAAGCCAGUCCUUCACCCCUUAUGCAGAAGGUGGGAUCUUUCCAAGGGACCAGCCCUUCCAGGAUUUUCCAUUCCUAUCUUAAAACAACCCUCUGCUCUUUCUUCUUUUAAUCACUUUUAACAGCUCUAUGAAUUGCUCUCCUCUCCCUACUCCCAAAAGAAUAUAUUUACAUGCAGGUUAGAAAGGGUGGUGUCCAGAAGGGACCUGGCAGUUAAAGCAGAAUAUACACAUGAUGCAAAUAAAAUAUAACAACACAUAAUACCUGUCUCCAAUCACCACCCAGUUCUGGAGGGUCUGACUUUGAUUAUGUCUCUCCUUGCACUUUAUGAGUCCUCUAUAUAAAUGUUUGCUGCUGCUCAGCCUCAACAGUUGUAGUUUUUAUGUUAGGUAAAAGCAGGAAAGGAUACACUCUGAAUCCUGGUUAUUUUUGUUUAUCGUGUGAAGGAGGAUUUAAGAUAAAGGUUCAGAACUGCCCUCUCUCAGAAAAGUAACUUGGUUUUGCUUGUGCUGCUGUCUAGAAAAUAAUGUGGGAUUUGGGAUGUUCAUGACAAUACUGGGCCAAGAAGUCAGCACAGCAAAGGGUCUCUUCUUUGUCACCUCACAAUUAAAGCUCUUGCUGUGAAUUUGGCAGGUAAAGGGGGGAGGGACCAAAGUAUCUUCCUCUGCUGUUUGUGUGCCAGCUGUGUUUGUGUUCAACGUAGGUUUUAACACUGAUAGCCAAGAGGAAAGGAGGAUUCUGCCCAAAGACCCUGAGGAGAUGGAGCUGCUUCCUGCAAGCCUGGGUGAGGAGCCUCCAGGAGAGGUGAGCUCAAGGUGUGUCCCUGUGUGCAGCAUCCUCUGAGAGCUUGCACUGACCUGACUUUCUGCUCUGUGAGGUUUUUUUUGUGGGGGUGUCCUGACCUGACUUUCUGCUCUGUGAGUGGUUUUUUUUGUGGGGGUGCCCUGAUCUCUCCCUGCCAGCUGGAGGUAAGGCAGCUUCUAGAUUCACUCUCUGCAGUACAAAAGUCUCAAAACAAAACACUGUGUCACCUAAUUGCCAGAGCUGAAAUUAUUUAUGGACCUGGCCUUUGGAGUCAGAGCCUCAAACUUCUUUAAUUACCUUUGGGGAUCUGUGCACAGGAUACCAUGGUAAUGAGAAUAAUAUUUGGAAUUCAAGUCUUGUCUAGUUGUGCUUUAGCAGCUGGAAUGGGCAAGCAGCUGAUUAUGACCAUAACAGAAAUAAUGCCAGAAACCUACAUGCACAGAGUUUGGAGUGUUGGCUUUUUAAUCAGAUGCAUAAAACUCUGGUUAUCUUUCUUAAAGCCCUUCUGGAAACAAAAUUUGGAAGGAAAGCUCCUGUUCAAUAUUCAAUGUCCUUGUGCAGUGUGAAUCUUUACCUAUAAAGCUCCUCACCAAAGGAGGAAAGACUAGAAUGUAAAUUGAAUUGUUGUCUUGAUACUGCUAUCUGGAACAUUAAUAUACACCCACUAAAACCCAAAAACUGAGCAUGCUAAUUAUUCCCAUUACAGGACCAUACCAACACUGCUGAAAUUAGUCUGAAUCUAUCAUUGCUUGAUUCAAACUUUAUAAAAUCUCUGGGGACAACUUAAGCGUUUCAGGUGAUUUGUUUCUCCGGGGAAGCCAUCCAGGCUCGUUAGCAGACCAUGGCAAUUGUCAGAACUGAUGAUAUCUGGAGGCAGUCGCUGUUUUCCAGACUCACCUCUCAGGAUCCACGGAGGCACAGCUACACAGGACUCUCCACAGGAUGAUGUAAGGCUUGGAACCACACACAGCCCACAUCCAGCCAGAUCACAGCACAAAUCUAUCAGCCUCAGCCACGUGGCAUUCAUCUGAGCAAACAAACUGGUUGUCUAGCCUUGCUUUGGCACUACGGGGAAAUUGGCACAUCCAAGGCAUGAUUCAUCUUGCCCUAAAGCUGAUAUCUAAAACAAGUCAGCUGAGCACGCUGUAAAAGUGCCUGUUUCCCUUCAUGGCUACAAAGGAUGGGAGGCUCAGAGAGGCACAGAUGUCUCCAGCAUGGAUGUUUUGAAUUAGGCAAGAUGAAUCCUGUCUAUGCUGUAUUUUUGUAAAAUGCUUUGUGUGAUGGAUGCUCGGGUCUCAGAUUGGAAGUACAAGUUCAAUUAUAAAGUACAGUGUCCUCAAGGGCCCUCGAAGAAAUGUGUUUGCUCUCAGUGCAACCCUGACCCAAAGCCCUGCUGCAUCUUUUCCCAGUAUUUAGUGACUAUAACUUGACAGACUCUUCACUGUUUAGUCCUCUCUUAUAAUUUCAUUUAGCAACUGAAUUCCAAGAUUGAAUGGAUAUUUUUAGAGUUUACUCACAUAACUUUAAAAUUGUUUGGACCAGGUAGCACAGACCUUUCCCCUUUCUUCCACAAAGAGCUGUAGGACUUGUAACAAUGAAAACAUGACUUUGCCCCAAAAGGCUAUUUUCUUCAUUUUUCCCUUCUCUUUGUUUUGUGUCAUCCAUAACAUUUUGAUUGUGCCACAGCUCAGAGGAGAAGUUUUUUGGAGUAGUUUGGAACAUCUCGAGCUUUGAUUUCUAAUCAAUUUCUACUAACAGCUAUGCAAACCAGUAUAACAAGCCAGGCCUUUUCUGUCUCUUUCUCUUUCUUGCAUUUGGAAAAAUAAAUCUGAGCAGCGACGUGAGUCUUGUAUAAUUACUCUUCCAUUUGUAUUUCUAGACUUGUCAAUCUGGCGAGCGCCACGGAGCGGGA